rnacentral:rRNA from 1 species
GGAGUUAGCCGGUGCUUCUUCUGUGAGUGAUGUCCUUCCUGCCGGCUAUUAACCCGCAGGCCUUCUUCCUCACUGAAAGUGCUUUACAACCCGAAGGCCUUCUUCACACACGCGGCAUGGCUGGAUCAGGGUUGCCCCCAUUGUCCAAUAUUCCCCACUGAUGCCUCCCGUAGGAGUCUGGGCCGUGUCUCAGUCCCAGUGUGGCUGAUCAUCCUCUCAGACCAGCUACGGAUCGUCGCCUUGGUGAGCCGUUACCUCACCAACCAGCUAAUCCGACAUAGGCUCAUCCGAUAGCGCGAGGCCCGAAGGUCCCCCGCUUUCCCCCGUAGGGCGUAUGCGGUAUUAGCCUGGGUUUCCCCAGGUUAUCCCCCACUACCGGGCAGAUUCCUAUGCAUUACUCACCCGUCCGCCGCUCGCCACCAGGGAGCAAGCUCCCCGUGCUGCCGCUCGACUUGCAUGUGUUAGGCCUGCCGCCAGCGUUCAAUCUGAGCCAUGAUCAAACUCUGA